UACGUAGGGUGCGAGCGUGUCCGGAAUUAUUGGGCGUAAAGAGCUCGUAGGCGGUUUGUCACGUCUGCUGUGAAAUCCCGAGGCUCAACCUCGGGCCUGCAGUGGGUACGGGCAGACUGGAGUGCGGUAGGGGGAGAAUGGAAUUCCUGGUGUAGCGGUGGAAUGCGCAGAUAUCAGGAGGAACACCGAUGGCGAAGGCAGGUCUCUGGGCAUUAACUGACGCUGAGGAGCGAAAGCGUGGGGAGCAAACAGG
rnacentral:rRNA from 1 species